rnacentral:rRNA from 1 species
UCGGCUUAGAGUUUGAUCAUGGCUCAGGACGAACGCUGGCGGCGUGCCUAAUACAUGCAAGUCGAACGAAUUGGUGCUUGCAUCAUUGAGUGGCGAACUGGUGAGUAACACGUGGGAAACCUGCCCAGAAGCGGGGGAUAACACCUGGAAACAGAUGCUAAUACCGCAUAACAACUUGACCGCAUGGUCCAAGUUGAAAGAUGUUCGUAUCACUUUUGGAUGGUCCCGCGGCGUAUUAGCUAGAUGGUGGGGUAACGGCUCACCAUGGCAAUGAUACGUAGCCGACCUGAGAGGGUAAUCGGCCACAUUGGGACUGAGACACGGCCCAAACUCCUACGGGAGGCAGCAGUAGGGAAUCUUCCACAAUGGACGAAAGUCUGAUGGAGCAACGCCGCGUGAGUGAAGAAGGGUUUCGGCUCGUAAAACUCUGUUGUUAAAGAAGAACAUAUCUGAGGUAAUUCACGUAUUGACGGUAUUUAACCAGAAAGCCACGGCUAACUACGUGCCAGCGGCCGCGGUAAUACGUAGGUGGCAAGCGUUGUCCGGAUUUAUUGGGCGUAAAGCGAGC